CUACGGGUUGCACCAGUGAGGAAUAUUGCACAAUGGGGGGAACCCUGAUGCAGCAACGCCGCGUGGAGGAUGACGCAUUUCGGUGUGUAAACUCCUUUUAUAUGUCAAGAAAAUGACGGUAGCAUAUGAAUAAGCACCGGCUAACUCCGUGCCAGCAGCCGCGGUAAUACGGAGGGUGCAAGCGUUACUCGGAAUCACUGGGCGUAAAGGACGCGUAGGCGGGUUGGAAAGUCAGGUGUGAAAUCCUACAGCUUAACUGUAGAACUGCACUUGAAACUUCUAAUCUAGAGUAUGGGAGGGGGAGAUGCAAUUAGUGGUGUAGGGGUAAACUCCGUAGAUAUCACUAGGAAUACCUAAAGCGAAGGCGAUCUCCUGGAACAUUACUGACGCUAAGGCGUGAAAGCGUGGGGAGCAAACAGGAUUAGAUACCCCCGUAGUC
rnacentral:rRNA from 1 species